rnacentral:lncRNA from 1 species
CUUAACUUUGAGGUCCAGGAACCAUAUAAUAAGACACGUUCUUUCGUUUCCAAGGGGGGAAGAACUGAUCUUUGGAAAAGGAGGUAACAAACAGUACCUGAUCAUUUUACACAGUAAACAACUAAAAUCUGAAGGAAGGAACUGUUGACAGCAAAAAAAGAUUAAUCAUAGCCCUUGCAAAUCAUCCUUGUCCUGUGGUCUUCAGGGACAGAGUAUGAUAAUUAACUAUAAGCCAUAAAUCCUAACCCUGGAUUAGCACCUUAUUUUCAGCGACUGUUGGCAAAUAAUAAAUAAAAUCUAACCUGUCUUUGCCGCUAUUUUUUAAUUAGAUUUUUUUCCCCUUCCAUUUAGUCGAUUGUAAGGAUUGAUGGUAAUGACAGUUUCCACGAUACCAGCAGGGAAUGGAGAGGACACCUUCUUUAGUUCUGAAUGGGAUGUGAUGGUUGUUAGUAAACAAAAGCUUGAAGCUUUCAUUCCCAUAUGGAGAAAUUCAAACUCACUUGAAAUCACUCAAUUUCCCACCAUGAGCAGCGUGGUUUUGUUAGACCCAGAUGGAAGAUGACUCUCUGUGGCCAGGUCCUAAGAUGCUGGCUGGAACCAAGGGAGAAGAAAUUCUGUAAACCUUGAUAAGUCUCCAACAAGGGAGUGCUUGUGACAAAUUCCUGGUGCCCAAAGAGCACAAAGCUGUGUGACUACAGCAAUGUGGCUGAUGGAUACAAAGUUAAAGGCCCUCACAUGUUUCAUGUAACACAUUUUUACUGGGUGCAUACUCUGUGCCUAUCACUGUAGACAUUAAAUAUGUAUCCACGUAUUACACUUGUAUAAUGGAUAUGGGUCAAGGAAGCAAGAGAAAUGAUUUUCUGUCCCACCCCACUCAAUCAAAUAAAGGUUAUCCAUCUGUCCUUCUCCCACAGAUGACGGAAUAGGAUAGGAUCUGAAAACAUGUCAUAGGCAUAUGAUAUUACAUCACCCAACGGUAUUGGGUCAUGUAUCCCAGUGAUUGGCUUGUAUAAUCUUCUUCCUAUAUAUAUGCUUGAGGUUUUUCUUCCAGGAGAGAGGAUAGGCGCUGCUGAGUCAUCCUGUGGCAGUCUUUCUUGUGUCUUGUGUCUAAAUCCUUCAAAUCAUGGACAUCUUGAGAGGAUGGACAUGUCCUAUAUGCCUCACGUGUCCUCUGCCUGGCACAGUGCCUGGCACGGGGUACAUACUCAGUACCUGUUUACUAAAUGAAUGUCAGUGUGCAUCAGAGACAGGGGUAUCUAUAUUAGUAGAAUGACAUUUAACUGUGGAUAGUUUUCCCUGGCAUAAAGUCAGUUGGUUAUUAGGGAAUUAAAACUGAGUUUUGGUCUCAUACAAACAUCCACUUGAAACAAAACAAAACGAAACAAAACUGCCCAAGUGUAAAGGUCACAUAAAAGGCAUCAACAAUUAUUCAUCCCUGGAUCUUUUCCCCUUUUAUCUCAUUGUUAAACAGAAGUUAUACUGAUGGCAAGUGGAAGCUUUAGGCAAAGAUCAGGUAUAUAUUUUUUAGUCUGAUCCUUGUUAAGCCCGGGUGUAUGUUAUGAACUUCAAUGUUUAGGCACAAACAAUGAUAUACAAAGAGAUUUCUGUGACAUGCACAACCUUGAAUGAAUCCUGAUCACAUGCUGUUGAUAGACCGUUAAAGACAAUGUAUAAAGUUAUGAUUAUAAUGAAGUUUUUCCUUCCCUCAAAUGCAUGUUAUUAUGCAUUAAUCUUUCCCAAAGGGAUUUCUCCAUGUGCAAUAGUGUUUUCAAAACCACUUGUCAAGAGAAGUUAUGUGAAAAUUCAACCACUAGAUGGAGUGGCUUUUAUAAGCCCUUAGGAAUCAAUUUGUUAUUCUAUUCAGUGGAUAUAGUUCUUGCUUUGGUUGAACAACUUCUCCUGCUA